UACGUAGGGGCAAGCGUUGUCCGGAUUUAUUGGGCGUAAAGAGCGUGUAGGCGGCUAUGCAGGUCCGCUGUCGAAACUCGAGGCUCAACCUCGAGACGUCGGUGGAAACCGCAUGGCUAGAGUCCGGAAGAGGAGAGUGGAAUUCCUGGUGUAGCGGUGAAAUGCGCAGAUAUCAGGAAGAACACCCGUGGCUAAGGCGGCUCUCUAGUACGGUACUGACGCUGAGACGCGAAAGCGUGGGGAGCGAACAGG
rnacentral:rRNA from 1 species